UUGAUUGUUUUUUUUUUUGAGGAAAAACAAAUAUUUCUUGUGUCAAACUGUCAACCGGAUCAGCUGAUGUUAUUAUGUUACAUUUGUCAAUUGAGACUUGGAACAAUUGAUGGAUUUCGAUGGACGAUUAUUAGAAGGAUCACCUUGGGUUGUUCUUAGGGCAAUGUUGGUAGCUUGAUGAUGACGUGGAUCAAAUUGAUUGCAUUGAUUUUGAAAUGGAAUAUUGCCUUGAGAAUAUACAGAUGGUAU